GAACGCGAAGAACCUUACCUACUCUUGACAUCCUAAGAAGAGCUCAGAGAUGAGCUUGUGCCUUCGGGAACUUAGAGACAGGUGCUGCAUGGCUGUCGUCAGCUCGUGUUGUGAAAUGUUGGGUUAAGUCCCGCAACGAGCGCAACCCUUAUCCUUUGUUGCCAGCGACUUGGUCGGGAACUCAAAGGAGACUGCCAGUGAUAAACUGGAGGAAGGUGGGGAUGACGUCAAGUCAUCAUGGCCCUUACGAGUAGGGCUACACACGUGCUACAAUGGCGUAUACAGAGGGAAGCGAAGCUGCGAGGUGGAGCGAAUCUCAUAAAGUACGUCUAAGUCCGGAUUGGAGUCUGCAACUCGACUCCAUGAGGUCGGAAUCGCUAGUAAUCGCGAAUCAGAAUGUCGCGGUGAAUACGUUCCCGGGUCUUGUACACACC
rnacentral:rRNA from 1 species